UACGGAGGGUGCGAGCGUUGUCCGGAAUCAUUGGGCGUAAAGGGCGCGUAGGCGGUCUGCUAAGCGUGUGGUGAAAGCUCGGGGGCUCAACCCCCGAGUCGGCCGUGCGAACUGGUGGACUUGAGCAUGUCAGAGGCAGGCGGAAUUCCGGGUGUAGCGGUGGAAUGCGUAGAUAUCGGGAGGAACACCGGUGGCGAAGGCGGCGACCUGGGUAGAUACUGACGCUGAGGUGCGAAAGCGUGGGGAGCAAACAGG
rnacentral:rRNA from 1 species